AAACCAUGAUGAGGACAUCUUCGCUGUAAUUUCUGAUAGGGCUCCCAUGUUUUAUACAAUGUCUCUCCUUCCUGUUGAGAAAAACUAGUUAUAUCCAUUCUCAAUUU